UAGGGAAUCUUCGGCAAUGGGGGGAACCCUGACCGAGCAACGCCGCGUGAGUGAAGAAGGUUUUCGGAUCGUAAAGCUCUGUUGUUAAGGAAGAACGAGUGUGAGAAUGGAAAGUUCAUACUGUGACGGUACUUAACCAGAAAGGGACGGCUAACUACGUGCCAGCAGCCGCGGUAAUACGUAGGUCCCGAGCGUUGUCCGGAUUUAUUGGGCGUAAAGCGAGCGCAGGCGGUUAGAUAAGUCUGAAGUUAAAGGCAGUGGCUCAACCAUUGUAGGCUUUGGAAACUGUUUAACUUGAGUGCAGAAGGGGAGAGUGGAAUUCCAUGUGUAGCGGUGAAAGGCGUAGAUAUAUGGGGGAACACCGGUGGCGAAAGCGGCUCUCUGGUCUGUAACUGACGCUGAGGCUCGAAAGCGUGGGGAGCGAACAGG
rnacentral:rRNA from 1 species